rnacentral:rRNA from 1 species
CAGUCGCCACGGUAAUACGGAGGGGGCUAGCGUUGUUCGGAAUUACUGGGCGUAAAGCGCACGUAGGCGGAUCGAUCAGUCAGGGGUGAAAUCCUGGAGCUCAACUCCAGAACUGCCUUUGAUACUGUCGAUCUCGAGUCCGGAAGAGGUGAGUGGAACUCCUAGUGUAGAGGUGGAAUUCGUAGAUAUUAGGAAGAACACCAGUGGCGAAGGCGGCUCACUGGUCCGGUACUGACGCUGAGGUGCGAAAGCGUGGGGAGCAAACAGGAUUAGAUACCCGCGUAGUCCCUGUCUCUUAUAC